UCACUCUUGUUUCUAUUCAGAGCGUACAAAUCUUUCGCCUUUUACUAAAGAUAUCCGUGGAGAGGAACAAUAAGAGUUUUACCUAGUGAUGGUGAGAUGAAGCCUCAUGAGGCAUU